AGAGUUUGAUCCUGGCUCAGGAUGAACGCUGGCGGCGUGCCUAAUACAUGCAAGUCGAACGAAUCUUCUUCGGAGGAUGAGUGGCGAACGGGUGAGUAAUACAUAGGUAACCUGCCCCUGUGCGGGGGAUAACAGGAGGAAACUCCUGCUAAUACCGCAUAGCCAUGAGCACCGCAUGGAGCUCAUGCCAAAUAUCCUUUACGGGAUAGCGCAGGGAUGGACCUAUGGCGCAUUAGCUAGUUGGCGGGGCAACGGCCCACCAAGGCAACGAUGCGUAGCCGGCCUGAGAGGGCGGACGGCCACAUUGGGACUGAGACACGGCCCAGACUCCUACGGGAGGCAGCAGUAGGGAAUUUUCGGCAAUGGGGGAAACCCUGACCGAGCAACGCCGCGUGAGCGAAGAAGGCCUUCGGGUCGUAAAGCUCUGUUGUAAAGGAAGAGCGUCGGACACAGGAAAUGGUGUGCGAGUGACGGUACCUUACAAGAAAGCUCCGGCUAACUACGUGCCAGCAGCCGCGGUAAUACGUAGGGAGCGAGCGUUGUCCGGAAUGACUGGGUGUAAAGGGAGCGUAGGCGGGAUGGCAAGUCAGAUGUGAAACCUGAGGGCUCAACCUUCAGACUGCAUUUGAAACUGCUGUUCUUGAGUGAAGUAGAGGUAAGCGGAAUUCCUGGUGUAGCGGUGAAAUGCGUAGAGAUCAGGAGGAACAUCGGUGGCGAAGGCGGCUUACUGGGCUUUUACUGACGCUGAGGCUCGAAAGCGUGGGGAGCAAACAGGAUUAGAUACCCUGGUAGUCCACGCUGUAAACGAUGAUUACUAGGUGUGGGGGGAUUGACCCCUUCCGUGCCGCAGUUAACACAAUAAGUAAUCCACCUGGGGAGUACGACCGCAAGGUUGAAACUCAAAGGAAUUGACGGGGGCCCGCACAAGCAGUGAAGUAUGUGGUUUAAUUCGAAGCAACGCGAAGAACCUUACCAGGUCUUGACAUCGAGUGACGUAUCCAGAGAUGGACAUUUCCUUCGGGACACAAAGACAGGUGGUGCAUGGUUGUCGUCAGCUCGUGUCGUGAGAUGUUGGGUUAAGUCCCGCAACGAGCGCAACCCUUAUCAUUAGUUGCUACGCAAGAGCACUCUAAUGAGACUGCCGUUGACAAAACGGAGGAAGGUGGGGAUGACGUCAAAUCAUCAUGCCCCUUAUGACCUGGGCUACACACGUACUACAAUGGCGAUCGAACAGAGGGAAGCAAGACAGCGAUGUGGAGCCAAUCCCAAAAAAUCGCCCCAGUUCAGAUUGCAGGCUGCAACUCGCCUGCAUGAAGUCGGAAUUGCUAGUAAUCGCAGAUCAGCAUGCUGCGGUGAAUACGUUCCCGGGCCUUGUACACACCGCCCGUCACACCAUGGGAGUCGGUAACACCCAAAGCCGGUCGUCUAACCUUCGGGAGGACGCCGUCUAAGGUGGGAUUGAUGACUGGGGUGAAGUCGUAACAAGGUA
rnacentral:rRNA from 1 species